GAUUCCGUAGGUGAACCUGCGGAAGGAUCAUUAUUGUAUAACCGAGGUGCGAGGGCUGUCGCUGACCCGAAAGGUCGUGCACGCCCGAGUGCCCUCACACACAUCCAUCUCACCCCUAUGUGCACCACCGCGUGGGUCCCCCUUUGGCUUGUUCGGAGGGGGGCUUACGUUUUCACACAAACUUUGUAUGCAGUGUAGAAUGUAUUUUUUGUUUUUGCGAUCACGCAAUCAAUACAACUUUCAACAACGGAUCUCUUGGCUCUC
rnacentral:misc_RNA from 1 species